rnacentral:lncRNA from 1 species
CAGCAAGUGAAUGAGAGAAGGGGGAGGAGUGUAGUGGUGUGGUGUUGAUCAGUUUGCAAGUGAAGCAAGUUGAUCAGUGUGUGAGUGAAGCACGGAGUGCGUGCAUUGUGAAGCAUGAUUAGUAUACAGCAGUAGUGGCUGUGUGCUAAUUGAGUGAUUAGUGUACAGCGUGUGGCUGUGUUAGUGGAGAUAGCUGCGUGAGUGUUCUUGGCCGGGUUGUGCGGCUGAGACGCAGUUUAGUGCGUGUGUGUUUGUGCUGUGUUAAAAUCAGUGUAACCAAUGUGUUGAACUGUGGUGAAUUUUAGUGCAAAAGAGGGUGCUGGUGUGCAGUGCCACAAAAGUAGUCUGUGUGUUCCUCACCUGUGAGUGGCUGGUGUGAUCUUGGGAGGUGCUAGAGGCUAACAGUUUCUCAUUUUCUUUUCCAUGGUUAUUGAAUUUCAAUUGCAAAUGGCAAUAUUCUGAUUGAGAUACUUGCAGGAUGAUGAAGAGAACGAAGAAGAAGGUGGCCUGAGCAAGUCUGGCAAGGAAUUAAAAAAGCUGCUUGGGCGCGCUGCUGGACUAAAUGAUUCAGAUGCUGACGAGGAUGAAGAAGAAGAAGAUGUACUGAUUCAUUCUCUUAAAAUAGUAACAUUUUAAUUAUGCACUAAGGCUAUUUUUUAAUGGAAAUAUAAGGAGUUAUCUUUUCUUCAUCCAGCAGGAAGACGAGUCAUCUCCAGUGCUUGCUCCAAAACAGAAGGAUCAAGUUAAGGAUGAACCUGUAGAUAACAGCCCAGCUAAACAAACACCAUCAGGACAUGCUCGCAGCACACCUCCUGCUUCCAAAUUCAAGCAAAAGAGAAAAUCAGGUGCUGAUGAUACAAAAACUUCUGGUGGUGCAGCUUCAAAGAAAGCAAAGGUGGAAUCGGUUAGUAAUCUAUGCUUACUUUAAAUGUGUAAAAAAGAAGAAAUGGCGAACUUGCAGUUUUUACACAAGUAUGCGCUAUUUGUUUUUUUACGUAUGUAAAUAAUAAUUCCUUUUUGUAUAGGAUACGAAAGCAUCGGGCAUUAAAGAGGAAGCACCAGCUUCGGCAAAACCUACAUCAAAGACCUCUGCUUCAUCAAAAAGUGGGACAAAUGUGUCACCUGUCACAGAGGAUGAAAUCAGGAGUGUUCUUCUU